rnacentral:rRNA from 1 species
AUGGCUUCAUCCGGUUCCAUGACGAGGCCACUGUGUGCUAACCAAGAAGACAUGCCGAACAAGUGGGAGGAUGCAUCUUUGGACAAGGUGAAGGAGAAAGAUGUCGACAUCCUGCCAUGUUGGUGUGAAGAUAUUUGCAAGGUGAAGGUGUCCACCGACCGAAAGAAGUCAUGGACGGAAGGGAGGAGAUAUUUUGUAUACCCGAACUAUGCUUAUGAUCGUGUGCUUCCAACUAACGCCUAUGACCAACCACCGGUAAGCUAG